UACGUAGGGUCCGAGCGUUGUCCGGAAUUAUUGGGCGUAAAGGGCUCGUAGGCGGUCCGUCACGUCGGGAGUGAAAACUCAGGGCUCAACCCUGAGCGUGCUUCCGAUACGGGCGGACUAGAGGUAUGCAGGGGAGAACGGAAUUCCUGGUGUAGCGGUGAAAUGCGCAGAUAUCGGGAGGAACACCGGUGGCGAAGGCGGUUCUCUGGGCCUUACCUGACGCUGAGGAGCGAAGCGUGGGGAGCGAACAGG
rnacentral:rRNA from 1 species